rnacentral:rRNA from 1 species
UACGUAGGUGGCAAGCGUUAUCCGGAUUUACUGGGCGUAAAGGGAACGCAGGCGGUCUUUUAAGUCUGAUGUGAAAGCCUUCGGCUUAACCGGAGUAGUGCAUUGGAAACUGGGAGACUUGAGUGCAGAAGAGGAGAGUGGAACUCCAUGUGUAGCGGUGAAAUGCGUAGAUAUAUGGAAGAACACCGGUGGCGAAAGCGGCUCUCUGGCCUGUAACUGACACUGAGGCUCGAAAGCGUGGGGAGCAAACAGG